AGGACGAAGAAUAUGAUAAAUUGAUUGAUUGUUGGUUGCUUAACGUCCAGUGGCAAAUAUUUCAUGCAUAUUCAGGACGAGAACAAGUUCACAAUAAAUACAAUAGGUAGGUUGUUGUAAAAGAGGCCAUUUAGGAUGAUGGUCGGGGAAAUUUGAACUGCCACUGGAAAAUGAGGGUAUAUUGGAUAGGGACAGAAAUUUUUCCUUGCAACAGGCCACCUACGGACCCCUCAAAGAGUUGUUGCAAGGGUUCUUAACGUGCAAAGAGCGUGGCACUCUCUUUACACGAGGCAUCGGAUUUAACGUCCCCUUCUGACGGACGUGACUGCGAACUUGAUACAUCCCGCACAGCCAAACGGACGCCCCACUUCGGCAAGCGUUU
rnacentral:lncRNA from 1 species